rnacentral:ncRNA from 1 species
GAAUAAGGGGCUCCUAACUCUGUGCCAGCAGGAGCGGUAAUACAGAGGCCCCAAGCAUUAUCCGGAAUCACUGGGCGUAAAGGGUGUCAAGGCGGUCAUAUUAGUCUUUUGUCAAAUCCGUGGGCUCAACCUACGGCUCGCAAGAGAAACGGUAUGACUUGAGGUUGGGAGAGGUGCGUGGAACUCACGGUGUAGGGGUGAAAUCCGUUGAUAUCGUGGGGAACACCAAAGGCGAAGGCAGCGCACUGGCCUGUUUCUGACGCUCACACACGAAAGCCAGGGUAGCGAACGGGAUUAGAUACCCCGGUAGUCCUGGCCCUAAACGCUGCUCGCUCGUUCUGCGGAGUAUCGACCCUCUGCGGGACUAAGCUAACGCGGUAAGCGAGCCGCCUGGGUAGUACGAGCGCAAGCUUAAAACUCAAAGGAAUAGACGGGGACUCGCACAAGUAGUGGAUCAUGUGGCUUAAUUCGUCGAUAAGCGAAGAACCUUACCAGGGCUAGAAAUGCAGCUGCAUCCCAGCAGAAACGUUGGGAGCCUGCUGUUCCCUUCAGUGGGGUAACGAACGCAACCCCCGUUGUCUGUUAAUUGUCAGGCGAGACUGCCCCCUCACGGGGGAGGAAGGUGGGGAUGACGCCAAAUCAGCAUGUCCCUCUGAUGCCCUGGGCUGCACACGUGAUACAAUGGUCGGUACAGAAGGAUGCAAGACCGCAAGGUGGAGCAAAUCCCAAAAACCGUCCUCAGUACGGAUAGAGGUCUGCAACCGACCUCUUGAAGCUGGAAUUACUAGUAAUCGUGGGUCAGCCAUACCACGGUGAAUACGUUCUCGAGUCUUGUACUCACCGCCCGUCAACUCAAGGAAGUUGGAGGUACCCGAUAUUCUGCAUUUAGCAGGACUACGGUAAAUUCAAUGACAGGGAGUAAGUCGUAACAAGGCACGGGUAGCGGAAGCUGCUCGUGGAUCAUAUCCAAU